rnacentral:sRNA from 1 species
UAGUGUGUGCUUAGUUUACCUACCAAGC